UAUAAUUCCCGCUAACUAUUUCAUCACUUUCAUCCUCCCAAAAUGUCUCGAACCCUAAAAUUCCCACACUUUCACUUUGCCCGCUUCUCUCAAAAUCCACCACUUUCACUUUGCCGCUUCUCUCAAAAUCAAUUCAAAAUCCACGAGUUUCACUUUAUCUCUUCUGCAAGUGUUAGAUAUCUCUUCAGUUGUUCUGCUUUGAUUCAAUUCCUUAGCCAUCUCAAUUUCUAGGGUUUCAAGAUGACCAGAUCUAGUCAGCCUCAUAGAAGACGGUUCGAUUUCUGCCGGACUCAAACCCUAUCACAUGUUCGUUACUUUGUAUUGAUAGGGUUUGGAUCAAAUUGCUUGAGUCUUGCAAAUAAUUUUAUCGAUUAUUUGAUAGAUUGAAGGUAAAAAGGGCUUCCCAAAACCUCUGGGUAAACAAAUUCGUUCUCACCUCCUUUAAUUCCUCACCAGACAUACCAAAAAGACGGGUCAAGCCGAGAAUUAAUGAACCAAAUCGUGGGACUCAUCUUAACCUUCAAAAACGUACAAUGUCAGAAACUGCGAAAAAUAAAAUUUCGAAAAACGUAAGUGAAAAAAGCCACCGAGAAAGGUAACACGGACGUUUAUCCUCUGGUCUUAGACCAUGUGUAGUGGGGCAUUAUAGGGCAAAAAAAACGCCCCCUUCCCCAUUACAUAGGGCAUUAUAGGGCAUUAUUUUUGAAAAAAAAUUGGUGGGGCAUUAUAUAUAAAACGCCUAACAUGGUUUGUGAAAUGGUUGACUGAGUUUGACCCACCAAUGAGAAAAUAGUUUGUUUUUUUUUUGUUUAAUGAUUGGAAGGGGCAUUAUCAGGCAUUAUUCCCACUACGCCACUUUUGCAAUAACGCCCCAUGCUGACUGGACUGCCACGUGUCGAAUAAUGCCCCAUGGUAGAGGCAUUAUUUUGUUUAACCACUACACAUGGUCUUAAUGCAGUUGUUGCAAGACUCGACACAAAUGUUGAUAUAAUUUGUUUCUCGAUUCUAGGUCGAUUGUUGGCUGUUUUGCUUCUGGUGGUAUGUGUUUCAUUACUGAUUUGACUUGAAAGUUUGAUAGUCUGUUAGUUCUACUGUUAGUGUGUGAUGAUCUAGGCCCCAUUUAUUUAUAGGUUAAGUACUGCUCUACUUGUGAAGUAAGUAUAUGGGAAGACAAUAGGUAGCUUUCUUCCCAAAGUCCCUUGCGUCAGGUAACAUUCUGAUCGCUGGUUGGUUGGUUGCUUGUUUGAUACAGUGAAGUGUGCAAUUACAUUUUUGCUAAGGAUAUUUGUUGGUUAUAGUUCUUCAGCUUUCUUAUUUUAUACGCAGACUUUUGCAACUUCAUAUUCUAUGGUUUAAUUUCCCUAGUGUGUAAAGAAGUGGAAUUAUCAUUUUUAAGCUAUUUAAGUUGAUCAUGCAUGCUACUACAUACUAAAAAAGGCACAACUCCUUGCAUAUUUGGCUUCGUUGAGAAGCAUAGAUGGUUGAAUGCAUGUGCCCAACAAUUGAUAGAGAGGCUAAUAUAUGGUGAAAAUUGAACAAGCAAAUUUGUCUUACAUUCUGUCUCUCUAUAACACCAACACUUGCAUGCUCACUGACAUUCUUUUCUUUUUCUCCUAACAGCCGAGGGUGUAGAGAAUGGUCUUGAGUUCACCAUAGUAAGACUUUUUAGUUGGAUUGGCCCAAUGAUGGAUUUCAUUCUAGGAAUUGAUGGUCCCAGUGAGGGUGUUUCAAGGGUUAUAUAUCCUUCCAGUUUCAGGGAUUUAAGUUGCUUUAGUUUUACAUCCAAUUUCACAGAAUGUUAUUUUACUAAUGAUUUUUGCUUUCGUUGUACCCAAAACUUAUUAAGAAGGGAACCUCUGAAGCUUGUGGAUGGUGGUGAAUCACAAAAAACCUUUAUAUACAUACAUCAAGGAAGCUAUUGAAGCUGUUCUUUUGUUGAUUGUAUGUUAAAUAUUUUUUCUUUAACAUAUGGUCAUUAGCGAUGUUCAUGGUCUAGUUUAGAGGUGCUAAACGGGUCGUAUUCGCGGGUUGGCGGGCUCAACCUGACCCCAACCCGAACACGACCCGAACCAAACCCGAAAAUCGGUUCGUACAUAUGAACCCGAACUUGACCCAAAUACUCGCAGGCUGACCCGAACCCGACCCGUUCAACCCGUUUUUUUUUACUUUUUUUCAGCAAAUUAAUAUAUUAAAAUUAACAUCUACUACAAAAAAAAACACAAAAUAGAUAAUAAAAUUUCAUUAAAAUCAUAAAAUCUUAUGUCAAUUUCUAUUUUUAAGUUAUAAGUAUAGCAUAAAAUACAAACCAAAUUUAAUUUAUAACAUAAAACGUAUUGUAAAAAAUAUAAUAAUAUAGAAAUGGGUUAAACAGGUCAACCCGCCGACCUGACCGGGUUGACCCGAACCUGACCCGUUUAGCUAAACGGGUUGGUGGGUUUAACCUGAAACUGACCCGUGAAUUUCGUGAUAGGUUCGUGUCCUGUUUUCGGGUCGUGUAAGAAAUUCACACCCCUAGUCUAGUUUGACUUGUUUAGAAGAAGAUUAGGGUCGAACUGUACCUGGGGUUUUUAAGGACCAGUGGUUUGAACUGAUUUCUUUUUUCAACCUCAUUAGUUUGCAUUAAAAUAAUAAAGAUGAUUAGUUCAUGAUUAUAGUACAUCCUGUAGGACAAAUCUUGAAAUGCAGAAUCAAAUGGCUUGGAAUUUGGAUGUAACAGGAGGAAUCAUUAUAAUUAUAGUUUUAUAUGGUCUGACUGUUAUUAAAUAAGGCUGUAGUGGUUACUCUGUUGGCAAUAUGGUUACUUUCUCUAAUAAUUAAGUCUCAUUUUUUUUGUAUCCAACUUAACAAAUAACCUAAACUGUUGUAAAUCUAGGUUUUGUUACGCCAACCUAUGUAGCAUGGGGACUCCAUUUAUGUGGCCGUACCCGUACUUGUCGGGGACGGAAACACCAUGGGUACUCGUCGGGGACGUUUCCUAAACGUUUCCAAUGUCGGGGAUGUAUCUGGUAGAAGUAUCCAGCCCGUUUCCAUUUAUUUUUAGGGUUUUUACCCUUUCAAAUUCCACAACCGGCCUAAAUAAAUAGACCUAUCAUAUUCGGCUUCUCUAAUCUCUAAACUCUCAAGUCUCAUCAUCUCUAAUUCUCUAUCGAUUGCCGAUCUCUCACUAGAUGAUGAACCGGAAUUUGAAAAUAAUUUGAUUAUUGAUAAUUAAUUACCUUUGGAAGACGUAGUAUUUUUGGAAUUUGUUUAGUGUAUUUUUAUUUUUUUAUAUUUUUUAUUGCCGUACCCGUAUCUUGGAAUUUUGAGUUUUGCCGUUCCUCGUUCCCGUAUCGUCCCCGUACCCCGUACCCGUUCCCGUGCUACUUAGACGCCAACUAUUUGGUAACAUACUAAAGUGAUACAUUGUUCAUAUUUGUUUAGAUUUUAGUUUAUAGAUAAUCUUUAAUUGGGAUGACACAAUUCUCCCAUUUGAUAGCAUAAUGCACUUCCUUGUACGCUGAGCUUGUUGACCCAUAACCACAUGAAGAGCAUAAAAAAGGAAGCCUGUUGGACAGUCUCAAGUAUUACUGCUGGAGAACACAUCCAGCUCAUGGAUGCAAAUUUUAGUCCAAUGGCAGAGAGUAUAUGGACUUGAAGAAAAUAACGUAGAGUAUAUGGACCGAAGAAAACAACCUAGAAAUAGUUGCUGGUUUAUGUGUAUAGUCAUUUCCUUUUGCAACUUUUGUAGAUAGGUUUUGGUCAAGAAUUUUAUGUUUUUAAUAUUUCAGUUGAAUACUUAUGUAUAUGCAUUAUGAGAUAUAUUUGGUUUUAGAUUUUC